CUGCAUGGCUGUCGUCAGCUCGUGUCGUGAGAUGUUGGGUUAAGUCCCGCAACGAGCGCAACCCUUGCCUUUAGUUGCCAGCAGUUCGGCUGGGCACUCUAAAGGGAACUGCCGGUGUUAAACCGGAGGAAGGUGGGGAUGACGUCAAGUCCUCAUGGCCUUUAUGACCAGGGCUACACACGUACUACAAUGGCCGAUACAAAGGGCAGCGACACUGCGAGGUGAAGCCAAUCCCGUAAAAAUCGGUCUCAGUCCGGAUUGGAGUCUGCAACUCGACUCCAUGAAGUUGGAAUCGCUAGUAAUCGUGGAUCAGCAUGCCACGGUGAAUACGUUCCCGGGCCUU
rnacentral:rRNA from 1 species